UGCAGCUCAGGAAACAAAGAAAUACGCUACGUUUCGGUACGACUGAAGUGGAAAACUGGCUAGGCUCAAUAACAAAGUACUUUUCAAUCCUACUAAACACAAAACAUGAGUAAGUAUUUGACACGAAAACGAGGCCAUUGGGUGAAAAGUGAAUGAACGGUAAGGUCUAUUAAAUGAUAUUUGAAAAAUACGCUUUCAACGUCAUCUGACGACAUCAUCAGC